GAAUUAUAUAAUGUUAAAUUACUAUUAAACAAAUGACUGACUAAGUAUUUUAGACUUUAGUUUACUUCAGCCAUAUUCCAUAUAAAUCAGGUAUCAUACAAAAAAAAAAAAAAAAAGCUUCAAAUACAGUCGUGACAAUAAAAGAAUAUGACUUGUCUGUCCUCCUCCAGAAAAUCUUAUGAAUGCAAACGCGCGUUGCAACUUCUUAUCUGGUGCGCGUCUUUUAUUUUGACAGCGAAUGCGCACCUGCGGACCACUUAUGUGCAGCCCUGAUAAUAAUCCUGUAUCUCAUAGCAGCCCUUCACUUCAUCCUCUGCCUGAAACAAGCAGACUUGACUCCUGCACACAAUCCACACUGUCUUUGUGUGUAUAUACUCUCAAAAAACGCAGAAUAGGUCCACAAAUAUGUUAAUGUGCAAAGUUUAAACAUGCAUCAUGUACUCAUGUAAUGCUUCAGUGCUGACUUAAUGAGACACGACUCUACACUCUGUGUUGUGCUUUUUACACUUUUUAAAAGUUUGUUUUUAAAGCACUGCACAGGUGAAUUUUCUUGUUUCUUCCGACUCUUCCAUCUUUCAUAUUAACUUCUUCACAGUUUGAUUAUUUAUUAGAAACUGUGGUGCCUUUAAAAAUAAACCUGGCAGUGCUACACAGACUCAUGGUGUCUUAUUUUACCUCCCAAAAUCCAAGCGCGAUAAAAUGGACGCCGGGCUCAAGCGAAGCCGGAAGUGCGCGGGGGAUUAUUAGCUUGCGCAGAUCCUUCCUCUCAGGAACGCGCACAGCUGCCUGCCUGACUCACCUGUGAUGGAUUUAGAAGAAGCUUUUAAAGCACCUUGAGCCAACUGCUGUGAUUUGGAGCUUGUAAAUUAAAUUGAAUUGGAAAAAACUACAGCUGUCAGCAGAUCAAAAUUUCUUUAUGUAUUCUUUUUAUUUCUCAGGGACCGUGCACAGAAACAUAGAUCUUGUGAGUGAACAGGCAUCUUUUCUCGGUCUGCAGUCCUGGGAAGUUAAAAUGGCGCAUACAUGCAAAUCCUAAAAUUCUCAAUGUUUUUGUAACUAAUUUGUCUCAAAUGUAUUGAGUCUUUAAGUUUGCAUCAUUAGGGGCGUGGCCUCUUUGACUGAGAGGUGGCUGUAGCUGCUAGCUGUGUGCUCGGCUUCACCUCGGCUCAGCAGAGUCCAUGAACUGGACCUGUGACACAAAAAUGUAUUUUGAACGAGCUCACAUGUUACUGAGCACGGCUGAUUUAGAUUUGGAAGGAAGGAAAAGGAAGAUAAAGUCAGUUGUGUUAAACUGGCACAAUUUUUAAGAGAGUUUGAGUUAUUUUAUUUUAUUUUUCAGUGAUUCUCUAGAAAUCUGUCAGAAAUUGAAAUUUCAUCUUUGAUUGCACAUCUGUUAACGACUGACCACAGUUUCAUCUGAAAAUCAUGAGAUCAUUAGUCAUUGAUCUUUAUCUGCAUGAAUUUGGCUGCAGACUCAGUCCUCGGUGCCACAACAGGCCAGAAAUCCUUCAUUAAACUUUCAUUGGUCUCCUGUUCAUUGUGUAUCUGCCUCAGUGCUGCUUGUCAUACAGUACUGUUUUUAAAAAUAAGAUUUAAAAGGGUUAUAAGCUCAGGCAGACCAAGUGACUCAUUGUGUGAAUGUUUGCCAAAGAAUCUGCUCAGUGUGAGUUGUGUCGAGUCAGAUGAGUUCUUCAGUUUCUUCUGAGGCUUAUUCGACGCUUCUGGACUGAGACGUGUAGUUCACGUGGUGUGCAGAGACAUGACCAAAAGUUAAAAUCCUUUAAAAUCCCUAACCCUGGCGACGGCGGCCAACUCAUCCGGCGUGCUCUUCUUCCUGCUGUCUGUCUCUCUUCCAGAGUCUCCUCGUUGGCUGUACUCCCAGGGCCGGGCGGAGCGAGCUGAGGAGGUAAACACGAUGAAGCAUUCCUGAGCCGCUCUGUGAGAAUCUCCCGGGAAUUAGAAAAAUGCACCUCUGCAUGUUUGUGUGAAUCACUGAUAUUUAAAACUGAGAAGCUGAACAAAGUGUGAACAGACCCUCCUUUACUCUGUUCAUCUGGUGCUUUUAAAUGUUUCAGUGAGCCGAGAAACCAGCUUCAGAUUAUGGUUUUAGCCUCAGUGAGGUCUCCAAAGGUUGGAGUCUGAAGCGCUCGUGAUCAGAUGUUUUCUCCUCCUACACUCAGAGGAGGUUUGGGCGAGGACGCUGAUCUCAUCUGACCUCAGUGGGGAAAACCAGCAGGAAGCAAAAGGAGUGAGAAACAAGAGGUUUGACAAAGGCCUGCACAGUGUUAGAAACAGCAAACAGAGGAGCGCUGUUCUGUCGAGGGACAAAAGUUAACUUUAAGUAUGAAUGCAUUUAAUGCAGAAAAACCUGCAAAGCUGCAUUUGAUAGAACUGCAGACUCCACGGUUCGAUUCCUGACACUUUCCCUCUAAAGACUGGAGAGAAGCGUGAGCUAAAGUAAAGUCAGAUUUAUCGACUUGUUGGGUCUGCGCGUCCCGUUUCCUUUGCUC